rnacentral:rRNA from 1 species
CCUACGGGUGGCAUCAGUGGGGAAUAUUGGACAAUGGGGGGAACCCUGAUCCAGCCAUGCCGCGUGUGUGAAGAAGGCCCGCGGGUUGUAAAGCACUUUCAGUGAGGAAGAACGCCUGGUGGUUAAUACCCAUCAGGAAAGACAUCACUCACAGAAGAAGCACCGGCUAACUCCGUGCCAGCAGCCGCGGUAAUACGGAGGGUGCGAGCGUUAAUCGGAAUUACUGGGCGUAAAGCGCGCGUAGGUGGCUUGAUAAGCCGGUUGUGAAAGCCCCGGGCUCAACCUGGGAACGGCAUCCGGAACUGUCAAGCUAGAGUGCAGGAGAGGAAGGUAGAAUUCCCGGUGUAGCGGUGAAAUGCGUAGAGAUCGGGAGGAAUACCAGUGGCGAAGGCGGCCUUCUGGACUGACACUGACACUGAGGUGCGAAAGCGUGGGUAGCAAACAGGAUUAGAUACCCUAGUAGUC